rnacentral:tRNA from 1 species
GCGCUCGUAGCUUAAUGGAUAGAGCAUCAGUCUUCGGAACUGAGGGUUGGGAGUUCGACUCUCCCCGAGCGCA